AUUGAACGCUGGCGGCGUGCCUAACACAUGCAGGUCGAGCGGUAACAGGUGUAGCAAUACAUGCUGACGAGCGGCGAACGGGUGAGUAAUGCUUUGGAAUCUUCCCAGUAGUGGGGAAUAACCAGUCGAAAGAUUGGCUAAUACCGCAUACGUCUGUAAAGGGAAGGCGGGGACUCGCCUCUUCUUCGGAAGAGAGGCCUCGCGCUAUUGGAUGAGCCAAAGCGGAUUAGCUAGUUGGUGGGUAAUGGCCUACCAAGGCGACAAUCCGUAGCUGGUCUGAGAGGACGACCAGCCACACCGGAACUGAGACACGGUCCGGACUCCUACGGGAGGCAGCAGUGGGGAAUAUUGGACAAUGGGGAAACCCUGAUCCAGCGACGCCGCGUGUGUGAAGAAGGCCUGCGGGUUGUAAAGCACUUUUAGUGGGGACAAAAAGCUACGGAUUAAUACUCUGUGGUCUUG
rnacentral:rRNA from 1 species